rnacentral:lncRNA from 1 species
ACCAGAUCAGAACUCAUUUCACGACCUCCAGUCUUUCAGCUUCAUCUUCAACCCCAAUUUUCAAUUUUUGUUCUUCCACCUCAGUUUUUGUUCAACCUCAUCAUUCUAAGCUUCGUCGGAGGGCUCUCCUGGGCCACCGACAAUGAUGCGCUGUUGAGGGCCUUUUCUCCGUUGGUGAGAUCAUCGAAUCGAAGGGCCGUUUGACCCAUGUUCUCUCUCUGCUACUCGAUCUUCUGUUUCUCUAUGUUACUUGAUCUUUCUCUCCCAAAGAUUGAAGAUCGAUAAUUCCUUUUCAUUUUUGUUUAUUAUUGUGUAUUUGUUUGAUUAUACUUUGGCGUUUUGGUUUUGAUGGACGGAUUUGAUUUGAUUUGGUUUCUUUUUGUGUUUCCAGAUCAUCAACGAUUGCGAGACCGGGAGGUCCAGGGGCUUCAGCUUCAGCUUCGGCUUCGUCACCUUCAGCAACGAGAAGGCCAUGAGGGACGCGAUCGAAGGCAUGAACGACUAGAACUUCGACGACUGUAACAUCACCGUCAACGAGGCCCAGUCUUGUGGAAGCGGCAGUGGUAGUAACAGAGGUUACAGCCACGGAGGUGGCGACAUCGCAUUGCCUAUUUGAUUUGAUUUUUCUCUUUUUCUCUAUCUUUGGUUUAAAUGUGGAAAAUGGAUUAAAAAAACAAUUUGUAGGUGUUUUCUGAAUUUUAGUUUGCUAUCUGGUGUUGGUUGAUUUUGAAUUGGUUAUAUGUGUUGGCAGAAAAUUCAUGCAUUGCUGUCUCUCAUCUGGAGUUGUUGUUCAGUUUAAUCCCUGCAGGAGCUUGUAUCCAAGUGUGUGAGGCUGGCUCACUUGUUUCAUGUUUGAUGUAGUAACAUUAGUCAUUUUGAUUUGGCUGUAAGAUUUAGCUAUAAGGAAUUGCUUUUUGCGUUUUGAAAUCAAACCAAUUCCUCAUUUGAAACAAUAAGUUUCUAGAAUCUGUUAUACACAUGAACUUAUUUGAUGACUGCAAAGACCUAUAUUAAUUUCUUGGAUGAUCAAAUUGGCUAUUUUUGGUAUGAAAUGCUUGCUAAAUAUGCAUCUCUAACCCCGAGUGUAGCACCAUGCGCUGUGACUUAACCCACAAAGCUUACUAUUGAAUGAAAAACAAGAUAUCCUCUUUUUAUUUUCCUCUAUUGAUCUACUAUAUGGAGUUUCUUUGCCUUUUCUGCCCUGUUGAAUUAUGAAUAUGGAUUUCUUAGUUCAAUUUAGAAAAUCUAUGUUAUUCUCUUAUUGGUUCAGCAUAUAUCUAUUGAAAUUUUGACGCGGGGAGUGAAUGGUUUCAUAUUAUCCCUGUAGUUUGUAGUGAAAUGACAUACUAUUCAAAUUCUGUAUACUAUUUCACCUUAUCAGUUAUGUGCCUUGGGCUUAUGAUUGUUAUCUAUGUUGUUCCAAUUAUUCUAGUCUUAUUGUAUGAAUGGUCCUGAAUGAUUUUGUGUUCCAAUUUAGAAUGGGCCUCAAUGAUUUUGUGUUUUGGAGCUGAAUACAAAAGCAGUGGUUCAUACAGUUAUGAUUCUGGAAAAUGAACAGCUGCCUGUGUAUUUCAUUUGAAACAUGUCUGGGCAUGGUUUGUAUAAUCUUUUUUCCUGGUGUCCCGCCCAUUGUUCUUGUAUCUUUCUGGCAAUAUGGAUUUAAUCCUCUUGAAAAGAAAAAAGAAGAAGAAGUAAUUGACACACUAAUAAUCUGUUAUAGCUGUGUUAAGUGAUGGAUGGUAGAUGUUAAAACAUGUGAACAUACAAGCCUUGUUGAUUUUAAAUUCGAGAAUGUUAAUGUAUGUACUCUAUCUCUGUACCAACAGCCGAAGCAAAUCCACGAGAUUAAGGAUUUCCUUCUAACUGGACGAAGGAAGGAUCACGCUCUGUCAAAAUCAAGAGGAGCAAAGAUGCUGUCAAGUUUAAGGUUCGAUGCUCCAAGUACCUUUACACUCUUUGCGUGUUUGAUUUGGAGAAGGCCAACAAGUUGAAGCAUUCCCUUCCUCCAGGU